ensembl:ncRNA F28A10.12 ncRNA
AGUCAUUGUUGAAUCAAGAAGCGGAACACCCCUCUUCUUCAACAUCGUCCAUUGGAAGUGCCCUGCCCUUCAACCAACCAACCAACCAACCAGUGCUCCGUCCAGCUACCCUCUUUUUGCUCAUUCCACUUGCCACUCAUCAAGGAUGUUUUAAACAAUGCUCCGAAAUCCGAAACAGUUACCGUGCCGCCACACACUAGAUAUUUGAUCGAACAACUCACCAUCAAAUGUAAAACUGUCAGUUUCGCUUUGGAUUAUUUCAAUGUGGGCAUUUCCAUCGACUGAUUGGAUGUCUGCCAAUUAACAUGUAACUUUAUUGUAGAAUGAGCAUUGUUAAAUGAAAUUGAUUUUGAAAG